AACGAACGCUGGCGGCAGGCCUAACACAUGCAAGUCGGACGAGAAGGUUCCUUCGGGAACUGGAGAGUGGCGCACGGGCGAGUAACGCGUGGGGACCUACCUUUUAGUGGGGGCUAACGGUUGGAAACGACCGCUAAUACCGCAUACGCCCUUUUGGGGAAAGAUUUAUCGCUAAAAGAUGGACCCGCGUUGGAUUAGAUAGUUGGUGAGGUAACGGCUCACCAAGUCUUCGAUCCAUAGCUGGUUUGAGAGGAUGAUCAGCCACACUGGGACUGAGACACGGCCCAGACUCCUACGGGAGGCAGCAGUGGGGAAUAUUGGACAAUGGGCGGAAGCCUGAUCCAGCCAUGCCGCGUGGGUGAAGAAGGCCUUCGGGUUGUAAAGCUCUUUCAGAUGCGAAGAUGAUGACGGUAACAUCAGAAGAAGCCCCGGCUAAUUUCGUGCCAGCAGCCGCAGUAAAAC
rnacentral:rRNA from 1 species